AACGAACGCUGGCGGCAGGCCUAACACAUGCAAGUCGAACGCUGUAGCAAUACAGAGUGGCAGACGGGUGAGUAACGCGUGGGAAUCUUCCUAUCGGUACGGAAUAGCUCAGGGAAACUUGGGGUAAUACCGCAUACGCCCUUCGGGGGAAAGAUUUAUCGCCGAUAGAUGAGCCCGCGUCUGAUUAGCUAGUUGGUGAGGUAACGGCUCACCAAGGCGACGAUCAGUAGCUGGUCUGAGAGGAUGACCAGCCACACUGGGACUGAGACACGGCCCAGACUCCUACGGGAGGCAGCAGUGGGGAAUAUUGGACAAUGGGGGCAACCCUGAUCCAGCCAUGCCGCGUGAGUGACGAAGGUCUUCGGAUUGUAAAGCUCUUUUGGCGGGGACGAUAAUGACGGUACCCGCAGAAUAAGCCCCGGCUAACUUCGUGCCAGCAGCCGCAGUAA
rnacentral:rRNA from 1 species